CCUAGCAGAAGGCUAAGGGGUACUAGAGGUUGCAGAGGGCAGCCCAGGGGUAGGCCCAGGCAGCAGGUCCAAACCCAACUUUGCCAGUGAUGAGUAGGCUGAUACUUAAAUAAUCAUUCCCAGAAGUCACCGGCAAGAGGUGCCACAGGGGUUUCUUGUUCUCAAGGAAUACCAGGUUGUCUCCAGAGACUCCAGAUGUAUUCCAUUGCACUUCCUCCCAGUUCAGUAUAAUCUGUGGAUUUGCUCCCCCUUCUGGAUCACUGAUGAAGAUGUUAAUUUACUCUGGACCUCAAGCUGAUCUCUGCGAUAACCCACUAGACACCUCCCCACAACUUGAUAUAUUUCUCUUUAGCAUUUGCCAUUGUUUAUGGUCCAUCAUUCAGUUUUUAAGGCCACAUGACACUGUUCCUACCCACUCCAAUGUCAAACAAAUGAAAAGCAUCUGAUGAGAGGAGGGGUUUAAUCAAAUAGAGCAAAGAAAUGAGGAUUCAGGAAUCCUGCAUUCUGUUCUUAGAUCUUUGAGAAAGUGUGUGACCUUCAGCAAGUCAUUUCCAUUAUCUGUGUGUCAGUUCACCCAUCUGUAAAAUGGGGACAACAUUACAGUAAUGGUGUAAU